GGGGAUUUAGCUCAGUGGCAUAAGCACCUGCCUUGAAAGCAGGCAGUCGUGAGUUGAUCCCUG
rnacentral:tRNA from 1 species